AUACGUAGGUGACAAGCGUUAUCCGGAUUUACUGGGCGUAAAGGGCGUGUAGGCGGUCUUGCAAGUCAGAAGUGAAAUUCCUGAGCUCAACUCGGGCGCUGCUUCUGAAACUGCAGGACUUGAGUGCUGGAGGGGAUAGCGGAAUUCCUAGUGGAGCGGUAAAAUGCGCAGAUAUUAGGAAGAACACCGGUGGCGAAGGCGGUGAGCUGGACAGUAACGGACGCUGAGGCGCGAAAGCGGGGGGAGCAAACAGGAUUAGAUACCCUGUUAGUCCACGCCGUAAACGAUGAAUACUAGAUGUAGGGGGUAUCGACUCCCUCUGUGCCGCAGUUAACACAAUAAGUAUUCCGCCUGGGGAGUACGGCCGCAAGGUUGAAACUCAAAGGAAUUGACGGGG
rnacentral:rRNA from 1 species